GUUUUUUUUUUUUUUCUCGAAUAUUAAACACAAUUUUCAGAUACCGUUACAAUACUGUACUCAUUUUUUCGCCAAUUUUAAUGAUAGUGUUUGUAUAACCUAUACUCCCUUGUUAAUUAUCGUCCCCGUUUUGUCAAAAUUGGAUUAUCCCAAUUCAUUGAUGGCACCUCCUUAUUUUACGCAAAAGGAAGUGCCUUUCUGUCGAUCUGAACCUCACCAGUUUCGAUGUUCCCAAUAAGUAAACAAGGUGACGAAACGAUCAACGAUAUGGCGACAUAAGGGAAACGCCGAUGCAAUCGAACAGUUAAUGAUUUUAUAAUUAUAUGCCAUCCUACGAAACUAAGGACCUUCGGCGCGAUAAAAACAAAAAGGGAAAAAAAAAAGAAACAAGCGUUGUGUUUACGCUUUGCGAUAUAAUUACUGGGCGUCGUCUCGGUAUCAGAAGGCGUGAAAAACUUUUUAAAAAACUCCUAAUUCAGUCACAAGAAAAUCUAAACGAGGUUAAGGCUCCUUUAAAUCUAGUCCGAUUUCGGAUUUUUAACUGUAGUUUUGUCGGUGUUGUUGUCGUCGUCGUUGUUGUUGUUUUUGCGAUUAUUAUCCAACUGGUUACUGACCUACAUACGCGUUUAUUAUUCGUGUCGCGUAUAAGCUAUCACAUGGGUAACAUCCGACACUUGUAUAUAUAUAUAUAUACGUAGUGUGUUGGCAUACCAGAGAGAGAGAGAUGGCCGAAGGUGGACAGGUGUAAUACUUGCCUGACACGUUAAGUGUCAAAAGGCAAAAAGGGGGGAUAAUAACUGAAGGCUGUUUUUAAAUACGAUAAAUAAUAACAAAGUAUUAAUCCUUCCCAUUUGCGGGUUUUCCCGUUAAUUACAUCGUCAAGGAUGAACUCUCGACAAUGCGAAUUAACCGGGUAGAAUUCGUUAUAAACAAAUUCGCAUUCUUUAUAAGAUCGAUUAUGACGUUCACUCCCUUUUCUUCGUAUUACGUCGCCUAUUAAGCCGAACAGGGAAAAUCCUAGAGCGAUCAAGGAGAACGAUUUCGUAACCGACGGACUUUAAUCACGAUUAGAUAUUUCAGUAUUUUUGUAAUUCGGAGAUGAAACAAAACAAACAAAAAAAUAAUAAAAAAUAACGCGUAAUCGAAACUUCUUUAGCCCCGUUUACUCUCACUAUAAAUUCGAUCCGACUUAUCCGCAAAUACGCGCAUAUUGUAUUCAAGAUUUCUGUGGAAUUCCUCUCGUCGACCGUGGUAUGCGAUGGAUUUUUAUACCCUAAAUUUUGAGCCUCUGGUAGGUAGUAAAUGCCGUCUGGGAAUCUGGUUCAUGAUCGAUCGAUUGUGCUGUAUUUUUCUUCUGGGGCCAUCGCGACGACCUUGCGUACCAUUAAGGUACUCGCACCGCCAGUUUCGAAUCGGCGAUAAAGAAAAGGAAUCUUGUUCAUUAACGCUCGGUGUUCCGAUAUAAACAUUCUUAUCUAAUCGAACUACUUCGUCGAUUGUUAUUCUCCAAUAGAAAUCAUAAGUGUUUGACUUUAAUUAAGUAAUGUAUGGUGGCCGAUUUAAUUGCGUAGGUCCCGUAUCGCAUUUUGAUUUGGUUUUUUUUUUUUAACUGGCGUCGUUAACGUUUUUAGCCGGUAGGAGGCUCGUACGACUGAAGUGUCAAUCAAUCGAAAGGGAAACGUUUUUUAAAAAAUAAUUUCAAAAACUAUUGGUUAAUGCGGAAUAUAUAUUUAAAAAAAUAAUAACCAAUGACAGACGUGCACGCGUUUAUGACGACUUAUCAGGCAGCGGCGGCGUUUCUACAAAAUAAUUAUAUUUUUUAAUGACGUAAUUAAUUUAAAAAUGGUAUUUCGAGUAGCAUUUAAGAAUAGUUUGGGGGGGCGAAAGAAUAGCGCGCUAGGGAAUAUCACAGUAUCUGGCUGCAGAGUUUGGAUAAGAGUGACACGAAGCCUAAUCAAAACCCGUAAACACUGAAGAACAAGUAUUUCUGGAACCCCACUGACCUACUUUCUGUUGCUCUGCAGUUCUGUUCACGGCGCCGGUGCAGUUCUGUGCACUUUGUCCCUUCCCUAUCGACAAGGAGCGACAUCUCGUCCUUUUUCUUCCUCCUUUUUUUUUGUUUUGUUUACCAGAGUUGUUUACCAGAUAACAUUCCAAGCCGGCGCAGUAUUUAAGGUUGAGGCAACGCGGAAGGGACUAUUCGAUUUUUCGAUACGAGCUUUGGCUUCCGAUUACCUUCGCCACUAACGAUGUAAUUUGGCAAAAAUCGACAUUUUAUUUUAUUUUUUUUUUUAUGGAACGAAAUAUUAGUUCGUUAAAUAACGUUCACGUAUAAUAAAAAAAAAAAACUGCUUUAAUGAUUUAAUGCGAUUUCGGAUAUUUUACCGGAAAGAACGCAUGCGCGGAUCCCUAUCGUGCCUACUGUCACGUGACGGCCUACAGAGUGUGGAAAACUGUAAACAAGUCGGGGCGCCGGCUGGUGCUCGUUCUCCGAACUAAUUAGAUUAUCCCGUUAAUUUUCGAAAUUUUAUUUUAAUUUAAAUUAAACGGGAUGUUGCCAGACGGUUAAAUCGUCGCCAUGGGUCAUUGGGUAUAUUAUUAUUAUUAAUUAUUUUUAUUUUUUAUCGAUUGAGAGAAUUCAGCUACUAUCACCAUUGACCAGCGAUAAAUGAUUGGUUGACAAAU
rnacentral:lncRNA from 1 species